CUGUAGUGUCUCUGUGUCUGC
rnacentral:piRNA from 1 species